rnacentral:tRNA from 1 species
GCCUGGGUGGCUCAGUCGGUUGGGCAUCCGACUUCGGCUCAGGUCACGAUCUCACGGUCCGUGAGUUCGAGUCCCACGUCGGGCU